CUCAUUCAAAAUCAAAAUAUACAUUUAUUUACUAAGCAAAAAAAUGGCUUCGAAAAGAAAUGUAUACAUUGGUGUGUUCUUAGUUAUGGUGCUUCUCAUUUCCGCUAAAGUUGCAGAGACUAGAGAACUAACUGAGACGUCUAACAGAGUGACGUCAAAGGAGCAUGAGAAGAUAGGUGACGAUGGCAUAGGAACUGAUGAAUACGACUGUGAGUUCGGUUGCUGUGGUACAGAUGCCGCAUAUUGCCGCUGCUGCCGUUAACCAUUUCAAAUUUGCACUUCUUUUGCCCUUUUUUUAUUUUUUGUUUUGGGAAAGAAGUGAUGAAUAUGUUUGUGGUAUGAGUGUCUGUUUUAACAACUAUAGAACACCUCAAUUUGCUUAAUUAUCAAUAAAAUGGAGGAAGAUUGCAAUA